UGAAACAUCUAAGUACCCGGAGGAGAAGAAAACAAAAGUGAUUUCGUUAGUAGUGGCGAGCGAACGCGAAAUAGCCCAAACCAAUAUUGUUACGGCAAUGUUGGGGUUGUAGGACUACGAUAUUUAAUGCACGAUGAACUAGAACACGUUGGAAAGCGUGGCCAUAGACGGUGAUAGCCCGGUAUAGGUAAAGACUGUUAUUAAUAGUAGUAUCCUGAGUAGUGCGGGGCACGUGAAACCCUGUAUGAAUUUGGCGGGACCAUCCGUUAAGGCUAAAUACUCCUGAGAGACCGAUAGUGAACCAGUACCGUG
rnacentral:rRNA from 1 species